rnacentral:rRNA from 1 species
UUGCAGUUGAUACUGUCAGUCUUGAGUACAGUAGAGGUGGGCGGAAUUCGUGGUGUAGCGGUGAAAUGCUUAGAUAUCACGAAGAACUCCGAUUGCGAAGGCAGCUCACUGGACUGCAACUGACACUGAUGCUCGAAAGUGUGGGUAUCAAACAGGAUUAGAUACCCUGGUAGUCCGCACAGUAAACGAUGAAUACUCGCUGUUUGCGAUAUACAGUAAGCGGCCAAGCGAAAGCAUUAAGUAUUCCACCUGGGGAGUACGCCGGCAACGGUGAAACUCAAAGGAAUUGACGGGGGCCCGCACAAGCGGAGGAACAUGUGGUUUAAUUCGAUGAUACGCGAGGAACCUUACCCGGGCUUAAAUUGCAGUGGAAUGAUGUGGAAACAUGUCAGUGAGCAAUCACCGCUGUGAAGGUGCUGCAUGGUUGUCGUCAGCUCGUGCCGUGAGGUGUCGGCUUAAGUGCCAUAACGAGCGCAACCCUUAUCUUCAGUUACUAACAGGUCAUGCUGAGGACUCUGGAGAGACUGCCGUCGUAAGAUGUGAGGAAGGUGGGGAUGACGUCAAAUCAGCACGGCCCUUACGUCCGGGGCUACACACGUGUUACAAUGGGGGGUACAGAAGGCAGCUAGCGGGUGACCGUAUGCUAAUCCCAAAAUCCUCUCUCAGUUCGGAUCGAAGUCUGCAACCCGACUUCGUGAAGCUGGAUUCGCUAGUAAUCGCGCAUCAGCCACGGCGCGGUGAAUACGUUCCCGGGCCUUGUACACACCGCCCGUCAAGCCAUGGGAGCCGGGGGUACCUGAAGUACGUAACCGCAAGGAUCGUCCUAGGGUAAAACUGGUGACUGGGGCUAAGUCGUAACAAGGUAACCA